AAGGUAUUCCCCUAUACGGGAUACUGCUGACGGUAUCUGCAGAAUAAGCACGGCUACUACGUGCCAGCAGCCGCGGUAAUACGUAGGGUGCAAGCGUUAAUCGGAAUUACUGGGCGUAAAGCGUGUGUAGGCGGGUCGGAAAGAAAGAUGUGAAAUCCCAGGGCUCAACCUUGGAACUGCAUUUUUAACUGCCGAGCUAGAGUAUGUCAGAGGGGGGUAGAAUUCCACGUGUAGCAGUGAAAUGCGUAGAUAUGUGGAGGAAUACCGAUGGCGAAGGCAGCCCCCUGGGAUAAUACUGACGCUCAGACACGAAAGCGUGGGGAGCAAACAGGAUUAGAUACCCUGGUAGUCCACGCCCUAAACGAUGUCAACUAGCUGUUGGGGCCGUUAGGCCUUAGUAGCGCAGCUAACGCGUGAAGUUGACCGCCUGGGGAGUACGGUCGCAAGAUUAAAACUCAAAGGAAUUGACGGGGACCCGCACAAGCGGUGGAUGAUGUGGAUUAAUUCGAUGCAACGCGAAAAACCUUACCUACCCUUGACAUGUCUGGAAAGCCGAAGAGAUUUGGCCGUGCUCGCAAGAGAACCGGAACACAGGUGCUGCAUGGCUGUCGUCAGCUCGUGUCGUGAGAUGUUGGGUUAAGUCCCGCAACGAGCGCAACCCUUGUCAUUAGUUGCUACGCAAGAGCACUCUAAUGAGACUGCCGGUGACAAACCGGAGGAAGGUGGGGAUGACGUCAAGUCCUCAUGGCCCUUAUGGGUAGGGCUUCACACGUCAUACAAUGGUCGGGACAGAGGGUCGCCAACCCGCGAGGGGGAGCCAAUCUCAGAAACCCGAUCGUAGUCCGGAUCGCAGUCUGCAACUCGACUGCGUGAAGUCGGAAUCGCUAGUAAUCGCGGAUCAGAAUGUCGCGGUGAAUACGUUCCCGGGUCUUGUACACACCGCCCGUCACACCAUGGGAGUGGGUUUCACCAGAAGUAGGUAGCCUAACCGUAAGGAGGGCGCUUACCACGGUGGGAUUCAUGACUGGGGGAAG
rnacentral:rRNA from 1 species